AUUCCAGCUCCAAUAGCGUAUAUUAAAGUUGUUGCAGUUAAAACGCUCGUAGUCGGAUUUCGGGGCGGGCCGACCGGUCUGCCGAUGGGUAUGCACUGGCCGGCGCGUCCUUCCACCCGGAGACCGCGCCUACUCUUAACUGAGCGGGCGCGGGAGACGGGUCUUUUACUUUGAAAAAAUCAGAGUGUUUCAAGCAGGCAGUCGCUCUUGCAUGGAUUAGCAUGGGAUAAUGAAAUAGGACUCUGGUGCUAUUUUGUUGGUUUCGAACACCGGAGUAAUGAUUAAUAGGGACAGUCGGGGGCAUUUGUAUUCAAACGACAGAGGUGAAAUUCUUGGACCGUUUGAAGACAAACAACUCCGAAAGCAUUUGCCAAGAAUGUUUUCAUUG
rnacentral:rRNA from 1 species